rnacentral:lncRNA from 1 species
UGGUUGGAGUAGAUUCUGGUACAGUCGGUGCAUCUCCUUUGUUCGAUGUGGUGGUCUCCUUAGCAGCUUCUUCUUCCAAACUAAGAGGAAUGAUACUGCUCAAAUUCAAGUUCGGAUAUAAUUUUUUGACCGCAUCUCUGUCGUCUUCGUAUCCAAUACGAUAGGAGGUGAAUCCACCCUCAAGAAUUUCAUCCUUGCACUCUUGUGACUCUUUGAAAUUCUCGAUGGUUAGAUUCAGAGCACCUCUCACUGAUUUUGCUUCUUCUUUGAUAGAAGCCGACUCUGUAUCGGCCAGUGCCAACUUCUCUUCGAUGGCUCGAUGCCUCUCAU